GUUGCAUGGCUGUCGUCAGCUCGUGUCGUGAGAUGUUCGGUUAAGUCCGCUAACGAGCGCAACCCUCGCCGUAUGUUACAAGUGUCAUACGGGACUGCCGGUAAAAAGCCGGAGGAAGGUGAGGAUGAUGUCAAGUCAGCAUGACCUUUAUAUCCAGGGCUACACACACGCUACAAUGGUCUGUACAAUUGGUUGCCAAGCCGCGAGGCGGAGCCAAUCCGUAAAGCAGGCCUCAGUUCAGAUUGCAGUCUGCAACUCGACUGCAUGAAGCCGGAGUUGCUAGUAACCGCAGGUCAGCAAUACUGCGGUGAAUACGUUCCCGGGUCUU
rnacentral:rRNA from 1 species